rnacentral:rRNA from 1 species
AGAGUUUGAUCCUGGCUCAGAGCGAGCGCUGGCGGCAGGCCUAAUACAUGCAAGUCGAACGGCUCUUCGGAGCAGUGGCGGACGGGUGAGUAACGCGUGGGAACGUGCCCUUUGGUACGGAACAACUGAGGGAAACUUCAGCUAAUACCGUAUGUGCCCUUCGGGGGAAAGAUUUAUCGCCAUUGGAGCGGCCCGCGUUGGAUUAGGUAGUUGGUGAGGUAAAGGCUCACCAAGCCUACGAUCCAUAGCUGGUCUGAGAGGAUGAUCAGCCACACUGGGACUGAGACACGGCCCAGACUCCUACGGGAGGCAGCAGUAGGGAAUCUUGCGCAAUGGGCGAAAGCCUGACGCAGCCAUGCCGCGUGUAUGAUGAAGGUCUUAGGAUUGUAAAAUACUUUCACCGGGGAAGAUAAUGACGGUACCCGGAGAAGAAGCCCCGGCUAACUUCGUGCCAGCAGCCGCGGUAAUACGAAGGGGGCUAGCGUUGCUCGGAAUUACUGGGCGUAAAGGGCGCGUAAGCGGAUACUUAAGUCCGGGGUGAAAGCCAGGGGGUCAAACCCUGGAACAGCUUUCGUACUGGGGGAA